AUUGAACGCUGGCGGCACGCCUAACACAUGCAAGUCGAGCGGUAACAUGAACUGUAGCAAUACAGUUUGAUGACGAGCGGCGGACGGGUGAGGAACACGUAGGAACCUGCCCAAGAGAGGGGGACAACCAAGGGAAACUUUGGCUAAUACCGCAUAAUCUCUUAGGAGAUAAGUUGCCCGUAAGGGUAGCGCUUUUGGAGGGGCCUGCGUCCGAUUAGUUAGUUGGUGAGGUAACGGCUCACCAAGACGAUGAUCGGUAACUGGUCUGAGAGGACGACCAGUCACACUGGGACUGAGACACGGCCCAGACUCCUACGGGAGGCAGCAGUGGGGAAUAUUGGACAAUGGGGGGAACCCUGAUCCAGCCAUGCCGCGUGUGUGAAGAAGGCCUUAUGGUUGUAAAGCACUUUAAGCGAGGAGGAGGCUACUCUAGUUAAUACCUAGGGAUAGUGGACGUUACUCGCAGAAUAAGCACCGGCUAACUCUGUGCCAGCCGCCGCCGUAA
rnacentral:rRNA from 1 species